UACAGAGGUCCCGAGCGUUGUUCGGAUUCACUGGCGUAAAGGGUGCGCAGGUGGGUUGGCAAGUUUGAUGUGAAAGCCCCGGGCUUAACCCGGGAAUGGCAUUGAAUACUGCUGAUCUGGAGGAUUGGAGGGGGGACUGGAAUUCUUGGUGUAGCAGUGAAAUGCGUAGAUAUCAAGAGGAACACCAGUGGCGAAGGCGAGUCCCUGGACAAUACCUGACACUGAGGCACGAAAGCUAGGGGAGCAAACAGG
rnacentral:rRNA from 1 species